rnacentral:lncRNA from 1 species
ACAUCCAUGUGGAAAUCGCGGUGAUGGGAACUGGAAAUGAAAUAGGUUCUUUUUCGCAGUUGUUUUUCUGCAGAAAAUCAUCAACUGUGGAGAAGAAGAAGGGAAAUAAGAAAGAAAGAAAACCCUAAAAACCACCCUGGCGCCCGGGCCCGCAGGCCUCGGGCCGGCUCUGAAAAGUUUGGGCUGUGCACGUGAUGAGCGCGUAGGCGGGAGCCCCAGACAGGACCCGGGCGGGCAUUUCGAGAAAAAGCAGCGGUGACAGCCUUUGGUCCCCAUCUCCAUUGUUCCUGCCAGCUCUGGACCCCAGGCUGCAUGAGACAGUUGGCCUGUUUCCUCUCAUCUCUGGCUCCAUGACUUCAAUCCUCCUGCAGCUUCCACUGCCCCUAUCUGGCUCAUGUCUUGCUGUCUGGUGUCAUGAACUGGGAGUGCAGUAAAGAGGAGUGACAAGCCUGAGGGGCCACGUUCAUACCUGCCACUGCCAACUGUCCUGAUGUAACUGCUUUGUCAUCUUGCCUGCCAGGAUUUGUGACAAGUCUAGUUUGGGGUCUCUAUAAUCCUGCUCCUUUGGCUGCCAGCCAUCUCCAUAAAAAAAGAAUUUGAAAGGCUUCCAUUCUUUCAGAGACCUGUUUCCCGGGACUGGCUGCAAGGGAGAGAUGCACUGACCUUCUGCCAGGUAUAGAACUAUUGAAUGGUACAGUUUGAGAUCUUCGAAACCAUCAGGACUGAUCAUUUUCUGGCUACUUUCUACAUAGGAAUCCUAGAGUUCCUUGGAGAGGAUAUGAAGGUUAUUCUCAGGCCAUGCAGAUGGGCAAGAAAGGAUGUGCGUCCAUGGUUCCUCUUCAAAUCCAACCAAAACAGCCUUGCUUCCGUUGGCUUUAUAUAAUACUGCAACUCUUGAUAAUCUGAUUUAACACAAAUUUCCUCAUUGAGUUUCUCCUCAUGAAGAAACGGCCUCAGUGAGGUAAAUCGGAAUGCACAGGAGCACAUAGCAGGUUAGUGCAGACCAGAAAUCAAACCCAGGCUUUCUGACUGCUCAAUAGACCACAAUCUACCAUGCUACCAUGGAAACUUUAAAACAGAUGAAAGUAAAAACAAACAAACAACAACUUAAAAAAACAAAAACAAAAACAAAAGCAAAACCCAGAGCCUCUCUAGGAAAUACCAACGUGCUUUUGCCAAGUGGGGUUUCUCUCACUUCAUAAGAGCAGUAAACACUAAACCAAGGGAAUGUGAAUUUAGAGGUUAGAAAAGAUAACCAGAGAUUUGGCCGUGCGUGGGGCUCAUGCCUGUAAUCCCAGCACUUUGGGAGGCUGAGGCUGGUGGGUUGCCUGAGGUCAGGAGUUUGAGACCAGCCUGGCCAACAUAGUGAAACCCUGUCUCUACUAAAAAUACAAAAAUUAGCUGGGUGUGGUGGCGUGCACCUGUAAUCCCAGCUACUAGGGAGGCUGAGGCAGGAGAAUCGCUUGAACUGGAGAGGUGGAGGUUGCAGUGAGCCGAGAUGGUGCCAUUGCACUCCAGCCCGGGCAAGAAGAUUGAAAUUCCAUCUCAAAAAAAAAAAAAAAAGAAGAAGAAGAAGAAAAGAUGCCAGAGAUUUGGCGGGGUGCCGGGCUCAUGCCUGUAAUCCCAGCACUUUGGGAGGCCAAAUGGACAGAUCACUUAAAGUUAGGAGUUCCAGAAAAGAUGCCAGAGGUUGGGCCUUUACAUUGUUUUGUAAAUUCGUCAAACCUUAAUCUUAUUUAACUUCCCCACCUAUACAAAAAUUAAUGCAGUAAUUGCUUUUUAAGGAAGCAUUCCAAAGGCCAAAUAAUUCAUAUAUGUCAAGUACCCUGGGAUUCAGGAAAGAAAAAUUCUCUAUAGCUCUAAAGCAAGGAUUAUAAUUUGAGGUUUCCUGACAGUUUUUUUUAAGAAAAGAAAUACCAACCUUUCUUUUCUGGGCCAAAUGCCAAGGUAGGUAAUAACCCCUUGCCCAUUUUCUUUCCCCAAGCUGUUUUAACUAGAUAAGAGCUCUGCCUUCAUUUCCUUUUGUGAACUGACUUGGGAUGUUGCCACAUGCCCUUCAACUACUGUCAAUGCUCUAGUUUGCUGAGUGCUUUCCCCUUCAGAAUGGAAAAGGUUUUGGCAUAAAUAUCUAGCUUUCUUCAAGGUACAAAAUGCUUUCCAAGGAGCAGAGGACAGAGGGAACAAACUUUCAUGUUUCCCAAUUGUAUUAGUCUGUUCUCAUGCUGCUAAUAAAGACAUACCCAAGACUGUGUAAUUUAUAAAGGAAAAAGGUUUUACUGACUCACAGUUCCACAUGGCUGGGGAGGCCUCACAAUCAUGGUGGAAGAUGAAGGAAGAGCAAAGGGAUGUCUUCCAUGGCCAGCAAAAAGAGAAUGAAAGCCAAGGGAAGGAGAAAACACCUUAUAAAAUCAUCAGAUCUCAUGAGACUUAUUCACUACCAUGACAACGGUAUGGGUGAACUGCCCCCAUGAUUCAGUUAUCUCCCACCGGGUCCCUCCCACAAAAUGUGGGAAUUAUGGGAGCUACAAUUCAAGAUGAGAUUUGGGUGGGGACAGAGCCAAACCAUAGCACCAAUACUAGAUCCCUCAGCUUCAAGGUGGCUCCAGUGAUCCUAAGAGGAUCAAGGAAGCCCUACCUCCCUGCUUGUCCUGGAUGUCUCUGACACAUGUUAAGGGAAAAGCAUUAAUAAAGUGCUCAAGAAACAAUUGUUCAAUAGGUCAGUCUUAUAGUCAAUACCUCAUCCCAUGCUCUGUCCCCUACUCUUUGAAAAACUGCCCAAAGAAACAAUGGAUCCACGGAGUCACAAAAACAGGGCAUCCAGUGACCCUCCCCAUCUUACCAGCAAUGUGACUUUCCCACAGUAUAACGACAGCAGUGCCCAGAGCCCAAUACAAGCAGGGCUCUACACUGAGACAGAGCUGAGUUCUAGUAGCAACUACCCUCCUUAUAGCAGUGUUAUUUUAGGCAAGUUUCUCAGCUUCUGGAAGGUUCUUUUCUCAGGCUUACAUACUUUUUACCCGAAAAGAUCUUGGAGUCGUCCAUAUCAGCACAAGCAAUCUACAUUAUUAGUUUUUUUAAUGGCUGCACAGCAUUCCAUGAUAUGGCUGUACCAUUACUUAACUAUCGAUGAACAUUUAGGCAGUUUCCAGUCUCUUUCUGCAGGAGCCAAUGCUGCAAUGUGGUGGGUCAUAACUUUUUCUUUUUUUCAAAUGUGGUCUCACUAUUUCUUCCAGGCUGGAGUGUAGUGGUAUGAUCACAGCUCACUGCAGCCUCGAACUCCUGGACUCAAACAAUCCUCCUGUCUCAGCCUCCAGAGCAACUGGGAGUACAGGUGUGUGCCACCAUGCCUGACUAAGUUUUUAAAUUUUUUGUAGAGAUGGGGUCUUGCUAUAUUGACCAGGCUGGUCUUGAACUUCUGGCCUCAAGAAAUCCUCCCACCUGGGCCUCCCAGAGUGCUGGGAUUACAGGAAUGCACCACUGUGCCCAGCCCUAAAUAACUAUUUUUAUUUCCCUUUCUGUAACCGCUCAUCUUUUGUGCAUUUUUCCUUGGGUAUUGGCCUUCUUAUCAAAGUUUAAGAACUGUUUAUAUAUAGGGAUUAACCCUUAGUCUGUUGUAUGAAUUGCAAAUAUACAUGUAUUUUUAUUUGUAUAUGCAAAGUUUGUCUUUUAUCUUUGUAUAUGGGAUAGUUUUCCAAACACAGUUUUAUUUUAUUUUAUUUUUCAUCUUGCAUGUCUUUCCAAAGUACCAAGCAGAGUUUUUUUAAAAGUUGUUUUAUGGCUUCUGGGUUUUUUAAGUCAUAUUUAGAAAGAUCUUUCCCACUCUGAAAUUAAAAAAAUAAAUAAAUAAAAUCUCCCAAUUAAAAAAAAUUUGUGACUUUGUUUUUCAUAUUUAAAUAUUUAUUCCAUCUGGAAUUUAUUUUAUUUUAAGCUGUAAAGUAGAGACCUCAUUUUAUUGUAUUUCUCCAUAUGGCCACCCAGUUGUUACAAUACCAUUUACUAAAUAAUACAUCAAUUG